rnacentral:rRNA from 1 species
AGGGAAUCUUCCGCAAUGGACGAAAGUCUGACGGAGCAACGCCGCGUGAGUGAUGAAGGUUUUCGGAUCGUAAAGCUCUGUUGCCAGGGAAGAACGUCUUCUAGAGUAACUGCCAGGAGAGUGACGGUACCUGAGAAGAAAGCCCCGGCUAACUACGUGCCAGCAGCCGCGGUAAUACGUAGGGGGCAAGCGUUGUCCGGAAUUAUUGGGCGUAAAGCGCGCGCAGGCGGCUGUUUAAGUCUGGUGUUUAAUCCUGGGGCUCAACCCCGGGUCGCACUGGAAACUGGACGGCUUGAGUGCAGAAGAGGAGAGUGGAAUUCCACGUGUAGCGGUGAAAUGCGUAGAGAUGUGGAGGAACACCAGUGGCGAAGGCGACUCUCUGGGCUGUAACUGACGCUGAGGCGCGAAAGCGUGGGUGGCAAAC